rnacentral:rRNA from 1 species
AUUGAACGCUGGCGGCAGGCCUAACACAUGCAAGUCGAACGAGUGGCGGACGGGUGAGUAAUGUCUGGGAAACUGCGUGAUGGAGGGGGAUAACUACUGGAAAAGGUAGCAAAUACCGCAUACCAACGGAUGUGCCCAGACGGGAUUAGCUUGUUGGGGGGGUAACGGCUCACCAAGGAGACGAGCCCUAGCUGGUCUGAGAGGACGACCGGCCACACUGGAACUGAGACACGGUCCAGACUCCUACGGGAGGCAGCAGUGGGGAAUAUUGCACAAUGGGCGCAAGCCUGAUCCAGCCAUGCCGCGUGUAUGAAGAAGGCCUUCGGUUUGUAAAUUACUUUCAGCUGGGAGGCGUUACCCGCAGAAGAAGCACCGGCUAACUCCGUGCCAGCAGCCGCGGUAAUUC